AACGCACAUUGCGCCUCUCGGUAUUCCGGGAGGCACGCCUGUCCGAGCGCCAUUACACACUCCAAGCUGAGCUUGAUGUUGGACGAUGUCUGAGGACGGAUCGAGAGAUCUGGUAAUGACACGUCUGAAACGCGUGGGUGCCAACCUCGGGACCACGAACGUAGCAAGACGCGAGUCAUUCGUUCGCAUCUGGGACGUGAGGCGAGGCCGCCAACCUCUUUUUUUUUUUCGAGUUUGGCCUCGGAUCAGGCGGGAGUACCCGCUGAACUUAA
rnacentral:misc_RNA from 1 species